rnacentral:misc_RNA from 1 species
AACCAUAGAAACCUGCGGAGUACCUGCGGAGGGAUCAUUACAGAGUUCGUGCCCUCGCGGGUAGAUCUCCCACCCUUGUGUAUUUUCUACAUCUUGUUGCUUUGGCAGGCCGUUGGUUCGCCAACCACCGGCUCGCGGGCUGGUGCGUGCCUGCCAGAGGACCUCUCAAACUCGGUUUGUUAGUGUCGUCUGAGUACCAUAACAAUCGUUAAAACUUUCAACAACGGAUCUCAGAUCGGA